rnacentral:rRNA from 1 species
CCUACGGGAGGCAGCAGUGGGGAAUAUUGGACAAUGGGGGGAACCCUGAUCCAGCCAUGCCGCGUGUGUGAAGAAGGCCCUCGGGUUGUAAAGCACUUUCAGUGAGGAAGAACGCCUGGUGGUUAAUACCCAUCAGGAAAGACAUCACUCACAGAAGAAGCACCGGCUAACUCCGUGCCAGCAGCCGCGGUAAUACGGAGGGUGCGAGCGUUAAUCGGAAUUACUGGGCGUAAAGCGCGCGUAGGUGGCUUGAUAAGCCGGUUGUGAAAGCCCCGGGCUCAACCUGGGAACGGCAUCCGGAACUGUCAAGCUAGAGUGCAGGAGAGGAAGGUAGAAGUCCCGGUGUAGCGGUGAAAUGCGUAGAGAUCGGGAGGAAUACCAGUGGCGAAGGCGGCCUUCUGGACUGACACUGACACUGAGGUGCGAAAGCGUGGGUAGCAAACAGGAUUAGAUACCCUAGUAGUC